UACAGAGGGGGCAAGCGUUGUUCGGAAUUACUGGGCGUAAAGGGCGCGUAGGUGGCCUUCUAAGUUGAACGUGAAAUCCCUGGGCUCAACCCAGGAACUGCGUCCAAGACUGGGAGGCUUGAAUCCGGGAGAGGGAUGCGGAAUUCCAGGUGUAGCGGUGAAAUGCGUAGAUAUCUGGAGGAACACCGGUGGCGAAGGCGGCUAUCUGGACGACAACUGACGCUGAGGCGCGAAAGCGUGGGGAUCAAACAGG
rnacentral:rRNA from 1 species